UGAACGCUGGCGGCGUGCCUAAUACAUGCAAGUCGCGCGAACAGACGAGGAGCUUGCUCCUCUGACGUUAGCGGCGGACGGGUGAGUAACACGUGGAUAACCUACCUAUAAGACUGGGAUAACUUCGGGAAACCGGAGCUAAUACCGGAUAAUAUAUUGAACCGCAUGGUUCAAUAGUGAAAGACGGUUUUGCUGUCACUUAUAGAUGGAUCCGCGCCGCAUUAGCUAGUUGGUAAGGUAACGGCUUACCAAGGCAACGAUGCGUAGCCGACCUGAGAGGGUGAUCGGCCACACUGGAACUGAGACACGGUCCAGACUCCUACGGGAGGCAGCAGUAGGGAAUCUUCCGCAAUGGGCGAAAGCCUGACGGAGCAACGCCGCGUGAGUGAUGAAGGUCUUCGGAUCGUAAAACUCUGUUAUUAGGGAAGAACAAAUGUGUAAGUAACGAUGCACGUCUUGACGGUACCUAAUCAGAAAGCCACGGCUAACUACGU
rnacentral:rRNA from 1 species